rnacentral:lncRNA from 1 species
UGGAUUUUGUAGACGAGAAACAAUCGAGACAAGAAGCACCUCUUUAGUGACUCAGACACAGAAAACAGAGGGGAUGACAGCAAAACAGAGAUUAGUUGGCUGCAGGAAUCCAAGAGGAAACCUAAAGCCCAGAUCAUUGAUUACAGUAGAAGUAAAAAAUCAGGGAAACUAAUGGGCACAAACAAAACAGCGAGAAAAUCCUUGGAACCUGCUUUCUACAUGGAAAAAGCUAAAGGCAAAAAUACAAAUAGGAGAAAGACAAACAAAUGUAAACCCCAGAAUUCAAAAACAGAUGAAAUGAUAGUAAAAUCCACCAGAGAAAAACUCCCUCGAAGAGCAGCAGCAACAAAAAAUUACAAAGAACCUUCCAGUUCUGAGUCUGAGAGUGAAGUCAGGAUUCCAACAUGCACCUCCAAGGAGGAGAAAUCCAAAAUACAGAAACAUAUGAAUGGAUUGAAGGACUCCAAGCAGCCAAAGGUGCUGCACAUUGUACCUGUGGAGCCAAAGAGAGGGGAUAGCUAUGUGCAGAAAGCACUGGCUGAAUCCAGGAACUCUGCAGAGCAGAAGGAACUGGAAAUGCCUUCAGCUGAGAGCCCUGCCUCCCUUGAGAC